UAUAUGUAUGUAUGUAUAUAUGUAUGCAUGUAUACAUAUGUAUGCUCGUAUGUAUGAAUUGGGUAUGCGUAUGUUCCCGCAUACUUGCUGUCCGCUGGGCUGUAAGCCUGAAGCAACGUAUUUUUGAACAGUGCUCUACUACGCGAUUCUCAUAAAUUCAAGUAGGCCUCGCAGUUCUUCAUGCUUUGCUACGAUAUACAUUCUGACGCUCUCCUAUUGUGUGCCUGUACAUUUUUUGGCUGUGAGCUUUUUGCAGCGAGCCCAUUGAAAAUCGCGCCUAAACUGAUUUUACAAUUAGCUGUCUGGCAUUCUUGCUAACUGACUUAGUGGCUAUUCUAUUUUGAGUCUGAUUUUCGUAUCGAUUACACUGCGCAACAAGAGCUGUGACCGUGAAGCAAAAUGGCAUUCUGUAAAAGGCAAAUAAAAUGUUUGUUAAAUAAGUUAAGAGCAUGCAAAAAAAAAGAAGCAUUUCGCUAUGCAAUUUCCUUUUAGUCGUAGAAUUAGUUUUCCUGUAGCACAGUGUUAUUGAUUUAUCAUCGCAUUUCACAUUGGCUUCAAUUGCAUUGAGUAACUUUCGCUGCUUGUUGCGGUAAAUUGGCAUCUAUGACGCAGUCACACACACAGACACACACACACACACACAUCUACAUUUCACUCAUAACAUUCAGUCCAAAUAAAGACAAGACUGCGUUUAGUUGCCGGCAUCUUGAUUGGCAUUUAUUACAAUAUUAAUUUGUUAGUGCGAUUUAGUCAAUGGAAAAGUCAGCACUCCGUAAAUGGAAGCCCAUCAAGUGCUGUCCAUAUGCCAAAUGCCCAUCGAUUUUAGCUGGUUCUAUUGUACAAAAUACACAAGCGCAUAAGCACGAACAUGUUUGAAAAGAAUAUAAUUACAUACUUGGAAGCGUAUGGUAAGGAGAUUGAAAAGCUAAUGGGAUCGUUAUAUAUCCUGUCGUAACUCCACAUAAAUGAAUUUAAUUUGUACUCAGAACUUAAAUGCAUAAUCAAGAUUUGCAUUUUAAUGCGAAGAGCCCGGCCCGACCAGACCAGAGCAGAACAGAGCACGGAGAGGUGAGGUGGACUACACUGGGCUACAAAGCUACGCAAACAUUUCCAUUAAAUGCUUCAAGGGAUAUGAAUAUUGUGUGGUGCAAUGCAAAGCGUAUUCUGAGCGAGAGUCAACAGAGACGCGCGCGCAUAAAGCGGGGGAAUUACUUAUACAUAUGUACGCUGGAUAACAUUAUAUGUAAAUGGUGGGAAGGGGUCAGCCAGGGACGACGACGAAACGUUGUUGAAAAUUAAUUUCAUAAUAAAAAAGCGUAAGGAAACCCA